rnacentral:rRNA from 1 species
GUAGUCCCGGCUGUAAACCAUGCGGGCUAGUUGUCGGAGCGGCUUAGUGCCGCUCCGGUAACGCAGGGAAGCCAUUAAGCCCGCCGCCUGGGGAGUACGACCGCAAGGUUGAAACUUAAAGGAAUUGGCGGGGGAGCACCACAAGGGGUGAAGCUUGCGGCUCAAUUGGAGUCAACGCCGGAAAACUCACCAGGGGAGACAGCAGUAUGAAGGCCAAGCUAACGACUUUGCCAGACGCGCUGAGAGGAGGCGCAUGGCCGUCGCCAGCUCGUGUUGUGAAACGUCCGGUCAAGUCCGGGAACGAGCGAGACCUCCGUCUUUAGUUGCAACCCUUCAGGGGGCACACUAAAGAGACCGCCACCGAUUAAGGUGGAGGAAGGAGGAGGCAACGGCAGGUCAGCAUGCCCCGAAACCUCUGGGCUGCACGCGAGCUGCAAUGGCAGGUACAAUGGGAUCUGACCCCGUGAGGGGAAAGCAAUCCUCAAAGCCUACCUCAGUUGGGAUCGAGGGCUGCAACCCGCCCUCGUGAACCUGGAAUCCCUAGUAAUCGCGUGUCAACACCGCGCGGUGAAUACGUCCCUGCUCCUUGCACACACCGCCCGUCGCUCCAACCGAGUUGGCUUCAGAUGAGGCGUUACCUUCGGGUGACGUCGAAUCUGAGGUCGACGAGGUGGGAGAAGUCGUAACAAGGUGGCCGUAGGGGAACCUGCGGCUGGAUCACCUCC